UUCAUAAUUAAAAUUUACAUCACUGAGGUUUGUACUCAUUGGUUUUUCGUCAUAUCUAGUUUCGAGUAACUCAUUCCUUUGAAUUUGUCUUUGUUAAAAUAGUGAACAUACAUUAGACUGUAUACCGUGUGUAGGAACAUACAGCGUAUAUGACUUUAUAUAGACUCAUUACAUCAGUUAUGCAUGAAGAGAGAGGAUAUAUUUUUCCCUCUAAAAUAAAUAAUACAUAGCUUUAGCAAACAAAAUAUGCUGUUCUGAUUCUCAACAGUCUCAUUAAAUGUGUUCUGAAUAGUGAGUAUACAAAAGUUCUUGAAACCGUGGUUGAAUCAACUUGCAAUUGAAAUGCUCAAGACAUCUAAUCUGUAAAAUACCAAUAACACAAAAUAUCUUACCUUAAUCCAUUUUUAUGAAUAAAAAACCCGUUUUAGCUUUCAGGUUCUAUAAAUAUAUUUACAUUUAUUCACAUUCUAAGCUGAACUUCGAUAAAUUUGGAGGGGCUGGGGCCAGUGUCUGUAGAAGAAAUGUCUGUUAAGAAGUGAUAUCUUAGUGCUUAAUUAUUGUGAAAUUAUUGUUGCAGGGGUUCAUGAUUCAUUUUGGACCCACCCUUGCGACGUUGAGAAAAUGAAUCAAAUUCUGAGAGAAAAAUUUGUGGAGCUUUAUAACAUGCCCAUACUUGAAAAUUUGCUCGAGGGCUUCGAGUCUACAUAUCCAGGAUUGGCUUUCCCCUCAUUGCCAAAGAGAGGUGAGUUUGACUUAGAGAAGGUUCUUGAUUCUCCGUACUUCUUCAACUGAACAAUUCUCCAGUCAACAAUUAUAAGUUGCAGUCAAAGUAUUCGUACUUCCAAUGCAAAAUACGGAUGACCGUAUGGGUUGCAAUUCAUCCUUUCUGGAAUUGGGAAUAAUGAUCCAACAUUUCUUCUGGAGAAGACCAGGAGGGAAAGAAAACAGGUUCUGAAAAUAUUUUGAAAAAUUUCUUGUUCUAGAAUGGCUAUAGCUGGUGUCGAGAUGUAUUUGACAUAAGGCGGCAUAAGAGAUAAACUUUUAUCCCCCAUGAAAUUUAUAAUCACACCUUGGAGACGGGACACGCCAUAGAAUUUUAAUGUUGGUGAUGUUCAAUACCUGAAUUGAGUUGCUGCUGCUCAAUAGACGUGGCUACUUCUAAACGCGUGCAGCAGAAUCUUCUGUACAGUGCGGAACAUAGGGCUAGAGCUAACCUUAACAGUCUGCUUGUAAAAUUUAUUUUAAUUUAUUAUAUAUUGUAGAUCAGAAGAAUUUCGUUACGGAUACAAUCAUGCUCUUAUUUUUUAUUUCUAAUAAAAUUAUUUAUUUA